UUUGAAAGGUACUUGAACGCAGCACAAAGGGCGACAAUCGGCGCUCAGCUGAGCGAGAAGAACCGAUGGAUGUUUGUGUCUGAGCAGGAGAAAUGUGGACGAACAUGGAAAACAGGAGCUCGGUUCUCGUCAGUGAAGCGUUCAGCUCCGAGGUGGUUGACAUAAAUCUUGCAGAGCAGCUUUUCCACCCUGGUCAACAGAAAAAUGUUUCCACUGCAGCUGUGUCUUGUCCUUCUUGCACAGAAGACCCUCUAACCAGGAGCAGUGGAAUCAUCCCGGGUGAGAACGACUUUUUUUAUGCACCUGGUUGGACUCAUCCAGGGGGUUGGGUUCUGAACCAGAUACUUUC